rnacentral:rRNA from 1 species
UACGAAGGGGGCUAGCGUUGCUCGGAAUGACUGGGCGUAAAGGGCGCGUAGGCGGCUCGCUUAGUCAGGCGUGAAAGCCCUGGGCUCAACCUGGGAACUGCGUCGGAUACUGGAUGGCUUGAAUCCGGGAGAGGGAUGCGGAAUUCCAGGUGUAGCGGUGAAAUGCGUAGAUAUCUGGAGGAACACCGGUGGCGAAGGCGGCAUCCUGGACCGGCAUUGACGCUGAGGAGCGAAAGCCAGGGGAGCAAACGGG